rnacentral:tRNA from 1 species
GUCCCGGUGGCCGAGUGGUUAAGGCGACGCCCUGCUAUUAUGUCAUUGUAGCUUAGGCGUUGGGUUCUGCCCGCGCAAGUUCGAAUCUUGUCCGUGACG